rnacentral:rRNA from 1 species
UACGGGGGGAGCAAGCGUUGUUCGGAUUUACUGGGCGUAAAGGGCGCGUAGGCGGCCAGCACAAGUCAGUUGUGAAAUCUCCGAGCUUAACUCGGAAAGGUCAACUGAUACUGUGCGGCUAGAGUGCGGAAGGGGCAACUGGAAUUCUUGGUGUAGCGGUGAAAUGCGUAGACAUCAGGAGGAACACCGGUGGCGAAGGCGGAUCUCUGGGCCAUUACUGACGCUGAGGAGCGAAAGCGUGGGGAGCGAACAGG